GCACUCGUGGUGGAACUGGAAUACACAUAGCAUUAAGGAUGCUACGCUUCGGCAUGAGGGUUCGAUUCCCUCCGAGUGUA
rnacentral:tRNA from 1 species